UGCAAUAAAUAUUUAGAUUUCUUUGCCCAUCCUUUUUGGAUCUACUAGUAGGCCUAGUGAUUUUAGAGGUCUUAACAAGUGGGCUAUGCAUCAGAUUUCAUUUCAAGUGAUGAGUAAAAUAUCCAGAAAGAUAUAUAAUCUGUUCUUUUUGCCCUCUAGCUUAGCACACUGAAUUCUUUGAGCCAUCUGGUGUCAAUCCGUGUGGGAAAAUGAUCAAUGAAAACAAUUUAAGAAAUGCAUCUUAUAGAUGUUUCAUAUUGUAGGCCUAUUCAGCCUAUUGUGUCAUGGUGGUGUUAUCAUUUUUCAAACUUUAUUUUUGUGUAAUAAUUAGGCAUAUUGAUACAUAAUCAUGUUCAUGUUUUGUGCUGUCUUGCUUUGCAGAUGACAGAAUAUUGCUGAAGGAUCCUACAUGGAAGCUGGCUGAUUACACGGAGUGAUUCCUCUGGUGUGGUGUACCUCAGAGAAAUAAACACUGUUGCAAGAGCUGAGAAGAUGGCCAAGAUAUCCUUAUUGCUGGAUGGUAGCUCUGGUCGUAGUGGACCAUAUCUGCAAAUACUUCUGAACAUUGACAGAAUUUCUAAAGAUGACUGAGAAUAUUACUGAAGGAUCCUACAUGGAAGCUGUCUGAUUACACUGAGUGAUUCCUCUGGUGUGGUGUACCUCAGAGAAAAUAAACACUGUUGCAAGAGCUGAGAAGAUAUCCUUAUUGCUGGAUGGUUGCUCUCUGGUCGUACUUGAGCCCCCUGGACCAUGUCUGCAAAUGCUUCUGAACAUUGACAGAAUUUCUAAAGGAUCGCUGAGGACUCCCCCUCCAUGCGUGACAUCUUUGAGAAAUUUCCACGCUUUCUGGAGAUGCCAAGUUUGACUGGAACCAACUUUGCAUCCCUCUGCACUGACACAGAGAAGGUUUCAAGGACCCCACUACUAGGAGGCGAGAGUUUGACACGGCAGUGUCAUCACUGCCAUGGAUGACAACGUAACCAUUCCUGUUGCUGAUUGCCUGACUUACGCAGUGACAAGCUUUUCAUGCUCUACUGGGUGUGUAACUUGGCAUAUCCACCACAGUUUAACUCUGUUUUUGCCUCUUUUGAAUAUGUGUACGAUAUAACCAUCUCAACCAACAAGUGGGCCAAGGUACUGGAACAUUUCUCACUUCAAGUUGCUCUGUAGUCACUGGACAUUUUUUUAAACAUCUACGCAGACACCACCACUCCACACCAUGUGUAUUUUAAUUACUUCUGAUUCCACUGACAUGCAGACUACAUCCUAUGCAAAUUCAGGUAAUUUACCUGGUACUGGAGAAACAGCAUUGUAUGCCAUUCUAAGUGAUACUUGCCUCCUUGUUUUGCAAAAAUGUACUGUUCUUUGAAUAUAACUUAAAGUAAGAUCAUGUUGACUCUGAGGUUUUCUCCGGUUGUCAAGCACAACCUUAACGUUUUGUAAGUAAGUAAUAGUCACAGGAUAUGCAUGCAUUUGUAA